rnacentral:misc_RNA from 1 species
GAUGAAGAACGUAGUGAAAUGCGAUAAGUAAUGUGAAUUGCAGAAUUCAGUGAAUCAUCGAAUCUUUGAACGCACAUUGCGCCCAUUAGUAUUCUAGUGGGCAUGCCUGUUCGAGCGUCAUUUCAACCCUUAAGCCUAGCUUAGUGUUGGGAGACUGCCUAAUACGCAGCUCCUCAAAACCAGUGGCGGAGUCUGUUCGUGCUCUGAGCGUAGUAAUUUUUUAUCUCGCUUCUGCAAGCCGGCCAGACGACAGCCAUAAACCGCACCCUCUCGGGGGGCACUUUUUUAAUGGUUGACCUCGGAUCAGGUAGGAAUACCCGCUGAACUUAAGCAUAUCAAUAAGCGGAGGA